rnacentral:rRNA from 1 species
AGUGUAGCGGUGAAAUGCGUAGAUAUUAGGAAGAACACCAGUGGCGAAGGCGACUUUNUGGACGAAAACUGACGCUGAGGCGCGAAAGCCAGGGGAGCGAACGGGAUUAGAUACCCCGGUAGUCCUGNCCGUAAACGAUGGGUACUAGGUGUAGGAGGUAUCGACCCNUUCUGUGCCGGAGUUAACGCAAUAAGUACCCCGCCUGGGGAGUACGACCGCAAGGUUGAAACUCAAAGGAAUUGACGGGGGCCCGCACAAGCGGUGGAGUAUGUGGUUUAAUUCGACGCAACGCGAAGAACCUUACCAGGUCUUGACAUUGAUGGACAGAACCAGAGAUGGUUCCUCUUCUUCGGAAGCCAGAAAACAGGUGGUGCACGGUUGUCGUCAGCUCGUGUCGUGAGAUGUUGGGUUAAGUCCCGCAACGAGCGCAACCCCUAUCUUAUGUUGCCAGCACUUCGGGUGGGAACUCAUGAGAGACUGCCGCAGACAAUGCGGAGGAAGGCGGGGAUGACGUCAAAUCAUCAUGCCCCUUAUGACCUGGGCUACACACGUACUACAAUGGGAGUUAAUAGACGGAAGCGAAACCGCGAGGUGGAGCAAACCCGAGAAACACUCUCUCAGUUCGGAUCGUAGGCUGCAACUCGCCUACGUGAAGUCGGAAUCGCUAGUAAUCGCAGGUCAGCAUACUGCGGUGAAUACGUUCCCGGGCCUUGUACACACCGCCCGUCA